AGUCCAUGAUGAGGGCAUUCCAACUCAAUAUCCUUGAAACGCUCUCAUGCAUUAUAAAAGUCUCAUUAUCCUCUUGAAAGAACUUGGUCAAGCAUCCCACAUCUAAGUGG
rnacentral:snoRNA from 1 species